rnacentral:lncRNA from 1 species
AACUUUUAAUUUUUGUCUAGGGUAGUCUCUUCAUAUCCUCCCACUUCUUUAAUUUCAAAAUCUCUUCCUCUUUUCAAAACCUUCUUUGUUUGUGUUUUUCAGCUUAGACAUGUUUUAAUGAUUAGAAGCUUUUGCCUUAUGCCAUUGAAUUUUCAAACAUUUUUCUUAAAUCAAACUUGUAAAUGAACUUAACCAUACUGACUUUAAUUUCAAAAGACAAAAAAG